rnacentral:rRNA from 1 species
UACAGAGGUCUCAAGCGUUGUUCGGAUUCAUUGGGCGUAAAGGGUGCGUAGGUGGCGCCAUAAGUCAGGUGUGAAAUCUCGGAGCUCAACUCCGAAACUGCACUUGAUACUGUGGUGCUGGAGUACUGGAGAGGAGAUUGGAAUUUACGGUGUAGCAGUGAAAUGCGUAGAUAUCGUAAGGAAGACCAGUGGCGAAGGCGAAUCUCUGGACAGUUACUGACACUGAGGCACGAAGGCCAGGGGGAGCAAACGGG